AAGGCAACAGUGCUUCCGAGAUAAUUAACAUUCCAACAAACAAUAAUCCGAUAACUUGAAUUUGUUUUUAAUAUAUCUGUUGGUCAUAAUUUAAUAAUUACAAUGACUUGUUUGAAGCAAUCAAAGGUUAUCCCUGUAGUAACCGGACAGACUCGCAUUAACAAUGGAAGAACCGCAGCUACGCCGACUUUCUGUAUGCAGAAGGGAGAAAAGAAGUUAUCCGUGUCAUGAGAACUUAAACAACUUGAGGUCUGAGGACAGCGAUGAUGGGAGGACAGCUACAGCUGUGGGUACACAGAACUCAAUAUUCAGCUCCGAGAAAACCAUCUACUACACUCUCCUCAUCCUAAAAGUGGCACUGUGGAUCACCUUUGUUUGGAUUUUAUCUCACCUCCACAUGGGUCUGCCGUGUUUUAUCUUGUCGCUGACUGUUUGGUUGUGUCCAGAGCCAAUGCAGAGAGCUCUGAAGUCGGUUAAGAGGCGUCUGGAAGGUCAGGCUGCCUGUCACACUGCUUCAAAUGAGUAACAGUAAAUUCAUUCUCACAAUGA